GGUCAAGCUACAAAGGGCGCAUGGUGAAUGCCUUGGCAUCAGGAGCCGAUGAAGGACGUGAUAAGCUGCGAUAAGCUUCGGGUAGGCGCACAUAGCCUGAGAUCCGAAGAUCUCCGAAUGAGGAAACUCACAUGGGAAACCCCAUGUAUCAUUAAGUGAAUACAUAGCUUAAUGAAGGUAACCCAGGGAACUGAAACAUCUAAGUACCUGGAGGAAGAGAAAGAAAAAUCGAUUUUCUUAGUAGCGGCGAGCGAAAGGGAAAGAGCCCAAACCGGAAACUUGUUUCCGGGGUUGUGGACAUAGCAUAAAAGUGGAGGCUAUUGUAACUGAAGAGAACUGGAAAGUUCCACCGUAGAAGGUAAUAGUCCUGUAAGUGAAACGAGAAGACCACGAGUUAUGAUCCAGAGUACCACGAGACACGUGAAACCUUGUGGGAAGCAGGGAGGACCACCUCCCAAGGCUAAAUACUACCUGAUGACCGAUAGUGAAGCAGUACCGUGAGGGAAAGGUGAAAAGAACCCCGGGAGGGGAGUGAAAUAGAACCUGAAACCGUGUGCCUACAACCGCUCAGAGCCCCUUAUGAGGGUGAUGAGGUGCUUUUUGUAGAACGAGCCAACGAGUUACGGUAUGUAGCAAGGUUAAGUACUUAAGGUACGGAGCCGAAGGGAAACCGAGUCUGAAUAGGGCGACUAGUUGCAUGCCGUAGACCCGAAACCGGGUGACCUAUCCAUGGCCAGGUUGAAGCGAGGGUAAAACCUCGUGGAGGACCGAACCACGUUGCUGUUGAAAAAGCAUGGGAUGAGCUGUGGAUAGCGGAGAAAUUCCAAUCGAACCCGGAGAUAGCUGGUUCUCUCCGAAAUAGCUUUAGGGCUAGCGUCGAGUAUGAGUAGUGGAGGUAGAGCACUGAAUGGGCUAGGGGGCAUAGCGCUUACCGAACCUUAUCAAACUCCGAAUGCCACAUACUUUGAGCUCGGCAGUCAGACUACGAAUGAUAAGAUCCGUGGUCAAAAGGGAAACAGCCCAGAUCGUCAGCUAAGGUCCCAAAGUGUAAGUUAAGUGGGAAAGGAUGUGAGAUUUCUAAGACAACUAGGAUGUUGGCUUAGAAGCAGCCAUUCAUUAAAAGAGUGCGUAAUAGCUCACUAGUCGAGAGAUCUUGCGCCGAAAAUGUAACGGGGCUAAACUUACCACCGAAGCUACGGGCUUGAACUUAGUUCAAGCGGUAGGAGAGCGUCGUAACCGGGCUGAAGUCGUACCGUAAGGAGCGGUGGACUGGUUACGAGUGAGAAUGUUGGCAUCAGUAGCGAGAUGUGGGUGAGAAUCCCACAGGCCGAAAACCUAAGGUUUCCUCAGGAAGGUUCGUCCGCUGAGGGUUAGUCGGGACCUAAGCCGAGGCCGAAAGGCGUAGGUGAUGGACAACUGGUUGAUAUUCCAGUACCACUACCAUCGUUAUUAUCGAUGGCGUGACGCAGGAGGAUAGUGUGUGCUAGCUAUUGGAUGCUAGUCUAAGCGUUUAGGCAGUGAGAGUAGGCAAAUCCGCUCUCAUAAUGCUGAGGCGUGAUGGGGAAGGUUCCACGGAACCGAAGUACAUGAUUCCACGCUGCCAAGAAAAGCGUCUAGAGAGAGAAGUAGUGCCCGUACCGCAAACCGACACAGGUAGGUGAGGAGAGAAUCCUAAGGCCGGCGGAAGAAUUACAGUUAAGGAACUCGGCAAAUUGACCCCGUAAGUUCGCGAGAAGGGGUGCCUACGAGAGUAGGCCGCAGAGAAUAGGCCCAAGCAACUGUUUAGCAAAAACACAGGUCUCUGCUAAAGCGUAAGCUGAUGUAUAGGGGCUGACGCCUGCCCGGUGCUGGAAGGUUAAGGGGAACACUUAGCGCAAGCGAAGGUGUGAACUUAAGCCCCAGUAAACGGCGGCCGUAACUAUAACGGUCCUAAGGUAGCGAAAUUCCUUGUCAGGUAAGUUCUGACCCGCACGAAUGGCGUAAUGACUUGGGCACUGUCUCAACUGUAAAUCCGGCGAAGUUGUAGUGCGAGUGAAGAUGCUCGCUACCCGCGAUUGGACGGAAAGACCCCGUAGAGCUUUACUGUAGCUUAGCAUUGAGUUUUGGUAUUGUCUGUACAGGAUAGGUGGGAGACUAGGAAACCAGGGCGUCAGCCUUGGUGGAGUCAACCUUGGGAUACCACCCUGACAGUACUGAAAUUCUAACUGGCGGCCAUGAAUCUGGUCACAGGACAUUGUUAGGUGGGCAGUUUGACUGGGGCGGUCGCCUCCUAAAAAGUAACGGAGGCGCCCAAAGGUUCCCUCAGAACGGUCGGAAAUCGUUCGAAGAGUGCAAAGGCAGAAGGGAGCCUGACUGCGACACCCACAAGUGGAGCAGGGACGAAAGUCGGGCUUAGUGAUCCGGUGGUACCUCGUGGGAGGGCCAUCGCUCAACGGAUAAAAGCUACCUCGGGGAUAACAGGCUGAUCUCCCCCAAGAGUCCACAUCGACGGGGAGGUUUGGCACCUCGAUGUCGGCUCGUCGCAUCCUGGGGCUGAAGUAGGUCCCAAGGGUUGGGCUGUUCGCCCAUUAAAGCGGCACGCGAGCUGGGUUCAGAACGUCGUGAGACAGUUCGGUCCCUAUCCGUCGCGGGCGUAGGAAAUUUGAGAGGAGCUGUCCUUAGUACGAGAGGACCGGGAUGGACUGACCUCUGGUGUACCAGUUGUUCCGCCAGGAGCACAGCUGGGUAGCUAAGUCGGGAAUGGAUAAACGCUGAAAGCAUCUAAGCGUGAAGCCAACCUCAAGAUUAGAUUUCCCAUAGCGUAAGCUAGUAAGAUCCCUUGAAGAACACAAGGUUGAUAGGUCGGGGGUGUAAGCAUGGUAACAUGUUCAGCUGACCGAUACUAAUAGAUCGAGGGCUUGACCAA
rnacentral:rRNA from 1 species